AUUGAACGCUGGCGGCAUGCUUUACACAUGCAAGUCGAACGGUAACAGGCCGCAAGGUGCUGACGAGUGGCGAACGGGUGAGUAAUGCAUCGGAACGUGCCCAGUCGUGGGGGAUAACUACUCGAAAGAGUAGCUAAUACCGCAUACGAUCUAUGGAUGAAAGCGGGGGACCGUAAGGCCUCGCGCGAUUGGAGCGGCCGAUGUCAGAUUAGAUAGUUGGUGGGGUAAAGGCUCACCAAGCCAACGAUCUGUAGCUGGUCUGAGAGGACGACCAGCCACACUGGGACUGAGACACGGCCCAGACUCCUACGGGAGGCAGCAGUGGGGAAUUUUGGACAAUGGGCGCAAGCCUGAUCCAGCAAUGCCGCGUGCAGGAAGAAGGCCUUCGGGUUGUAAACUGCUUUUGUACGGAACGAAACGGCUCUGGUUAAUACCCGGGGCUAAUGACGGUACCGUAAGAAUAAGCACCGGCUAACUACGUG
rnacentral:rRNA from 1 species